rnacentral:rRNA from 1 species
GAUGAACGCUGGCGGCGUGCCUAAUACAUGCAAGUCGAGCGAACAGACGAGGAGCUUGCUCCUCUGACGUUAGCGGCGGACGGGUGAGUAACACGUGGAUAACCUACCUAUAAGACUGGGAUAACUUCGGGAAACCGGAGCUAAUACCGGAUAAUAUAUUGAACCGCAUGGUUCAUUAGUGAAAGACGGUUUUGCUGUCACUUAUAGAUGGAUCCGCGUCGCAUUAGCUAGUUGGUAAGGUAACGGCUUACCAAGGCAACGAUGAGUAGCCGACCUGAGAGGGGGAUCGGCAACACUGGAACGGAGACACGGUCAAGACUCCUACGGGAGGCAGAAGUAGGGAAUCUUCCGAAAUGGGGGAAAGCCUGACGGAGCAACGCCGCGGGGGUGAUGAAGGUCUUCGGAUCGUAAAACUCUGUUAUUAGGGAAGAACAAAUGUGUAAGUGACUAUGCACGUCUUGACGGUACCUAAUCAGAAAGCCACGGCUAACUACGUG